UCAACAACGUCGAGUCGGUGCUCUAAAGCUUGGGUGAUUAGCUCUUGAAAUCUCCUGCCUUCUGCUACUGCUUUUAGUUGGCUGCAAUGGACUAGUGGAACUUGGCUAGGUGGUGUUCCUGCUGACUUUAAGGGCCUGUUUGGGGGAGCUGGAGAGAGCUGGAGAUUCUGAGAAGCUAGCUGGAGAUUCUGAGAAGCUGAGGAGGGUCUGUUUGGGGGAGCUUCUUUAGGUUUGUUGGCUGGUGAGCUGAGAGGCUGAAUUGUCUGAAAUACCCCUGAGGUAGAUGGUGGUCCUGAUCUCUUGUUAAUUAUUUGGUUGAUAGAUUACACCCUUCCAUAUAUAAUUUGUGUGCAUAUAAUUUUGUAAAUAUUCAUUUUUCAUAAUGAUAGGAAUAAAAAAAUGUGUUCAUUUUUAAGGCAAUGAGAAAGGUUAAAUUAAUUAUCGC
rnacentral:sRNA from 1 species